CCCGCUGCCCCCAACCCGGAGCCUGAACCAAAGAUCAUACCAACGACCCCGAACCAAACAGGGAGCAUUGCUGCGAAAGGCGACAGCGAGAAGAACGGUUCCAAGGAUGCCGCCAAUGGCUUCGGCAACCUGCAGAGAGACGAGCCUGCUGUCGAAGAUAAGCGAACAGCCUCCGAGACAAAGAAAGAAGACGCGAGAGCGCCGCCUCCUUCCUCGUUACAUCCGACGCGGAGACAUGAUGAUAACAAAAUGAGGAUCAUAACAUUAGCAGGCAAGAAUGUGGGGGCUUACAUGGAGCUCGGGCCUUCUCUUGCGAGGAAAGUCGAAGCGAGUGCUUCUGGGAGCCACGGCGGAAAAGCUGUUGGUGAGAACUCGGCCAGCAAAAGCCCGAAGCCCUUAACCACCACGGUGAACAGCAAUGUGCAGAGCAUCAACAACU
rnacentral:lncRNA from 1 species